rnacentral:rRNA from 1 species
GAUGAACGCUGGCGGCGUGCCUAAUACAUGCAAGUCGAGCGAACGGACGAGAAGCUUGCUUCUCUGAUGUUAGCGGCGGACGGGUGAGUAACACGUGGAUAGCCUACCUAUAAGACUGGGAUAACUUCGUGAAACCGUAGCUAAUACCGGAUAAUAUUUUGAACCGCAUGGUUCAAAAGUGAAAGACGGUCUUGCUGUCACUUAUAGAUGGAUCCGCGCUGCAUUAGCUAGUUGGUAAGGUAACGGCUUACCAAGGCAACGAUGCAUAGCCGACCUGAGAGGGUGAUCAGCCACACUGGAACUGAGACACGGUCCAGACUCCUACGGGAGGCAGCAGUAGGGAAUCUUCCGCAAUGGGCGAAAGCCUGACGGAGCAACGCCGCGUGAGUGAUGAAGGUCUUCGGAUCGUAAAACUCUGUUAUUAGGGAAGAACAUAUGUGUAAGUAACUGUGCACAUCUUGACGGUACCUAAUCAGAAAGCCACGGCUAACUACGUG